rnacentral:rRNA from 1 species
CCUACGGGUGGCUGCAGUGGGGAAUAUUGGACAAUGGGCGAAAGCCUGAUCCAGCCAUGCCGCGUGUGUGAAGAAGGCCUUCGGGUUGUAAAGCACUUUCAGUGGGGAAGAAAGCCUUGGGGCUAAUACCCUCGAGGAAGGACAUCACCCACAGAAGAAGCACCGGCUAACAUCCGUGCCAGCAGCCGCGGUAAUACGGAGGGUGCGAGCGUUAAUCGGAAUUACUGGGCGUAAAGCGCGCGUAGGCGGUCUGAUAAGCCGGUUGUGAAAGCCCCGGGCUCAACCUGGGAACGGCAUCCGGAACUGUCAGGAUAGAGUGCAGGAGAGGAAGGUAGAAUUCCCGGUGUAGCGGUGAAAUGCGUAGAGAUCGGGAGGAAUACCAGUGGCGAAGGCGGCCUUCUGGACUGACACUGACGCUGAGGUGCGAAAGCGUGGGUAGCAAACAGGAUUAGAUACCCUGGUAGUC